AAAAUAAUCCUACCCUUUGUGAAUUUUGUUUGUUUGAAUAAUUUUUUUUUUUUAAAAAAUUAUUGGAGUCUUUCCCUUUAGAGUUUGCUUUUGAGUUUGUAAAAGAAUUCGAAAACAUCUAAAGGGGAUGGUCAAUAAUUUUUUUUGAAAAAAGACAUUUUUUAAAAUUAAACUUUUUGUAUUCAUUUGUCUAAAAAUUAUUUUUAUAAUAUAAAAACAACUUUUGACAAUGGAUCUCUUGGUUCUCGCAACGAUGAAGAACGCAGCAAAAUGCGAUAAGUAGUGUGAAUUGCAGAAUACGUGAAUCAUCGAAUCUUUGAACGCAUAUUGCACUUUUUUAGUUUACUAAAAAAGUAUGUCUGUUUGAGUAUCAGUAAAAUAUUCUCAUAAAAAUCAUUGUGUAUUUUUAUGGUUAUGAGUGUUUUACAACGAUACAAGUUGUUUCACUUUAAAUUUUUUUUUAAUAUUGAAAUUUUUCUAAUUUUAAUAAUUAAAAUUGGAUAAAAUUUUCCCGUCAAAAGGAAUAACCUAAACAAUUUUAAAUGAUUAGUUUUAGCAAAAUUUUCGUAAAAAAGGAAAAUUUUUAUUAAAAUAACUUGAUCUCAAAUCAGAUAAGAGUACCCGCUGAACUUAAGCAUAUCAAUAAGCGGAGGAAAAGAAACUAACAAGGAUUCCCUUAGUAACGGCGAGUGAAGCGGGAAGAGCUCAAAUUUGAAAUCUUCAAGGUUUUACCUUGACGAAUUGUAGUUUAAAGAAGUGUUUUCUGCUGAAGUUUUGGUAAAAGUUCUUUGGAAUAGGACAUCAUAGAGGGUGAGAAUCCCGUAUUUGACCAUUAUUUUCAGCUUUGUGAUACACUUUCAAAGAGUCGGAUUGUUUGGGAAUGCAGUCCAAAAUGGGUGGUAAAUUUCACCUAAAGCUAAAUAUUGGCGAGAGACCGAUAGCGAACAAGUACCGUGAGGGAAAGAUGAAAAGAACUUUGAAAAGAGAGUUAAACAGUACGUGAAAUUGUCAAAAGGGAAGCGUUUGACACCAGUGUUAUUUUCUCGAAAAUCAAUUAAAAAUGGCUCGAUUUUGUAUUGCUGAGACCUUAAAAGCUCACUGUACAUUUUUCGUGUCUUUUUUAAUGCACUUUUCGUUUAACAAGUCAACAUCAGUUUCUUUUGUUGUAAAAGGGUCAUUGGAAGGUGGCUUUCUUUUCGGAGAAAGUGUUUAUAGCCUUUGGCCUCUGCAAUCGAAGAGACUGAGGUCUGCAGCGUAGACUCUUCGGGGUUAGAUACAUUUGUGCUAAGUUAUAGCUUUUUAUAGACAACUUGUUGACUAUAAUUAGUCUUGUAGCUUACUCGCUUAUGCUAUUUUACCUACGCUUAGGAUG
rnacentral:misc_RNA from 1 species